rnacentral:rRNA from 1 species
GUUGAAGGUUGGGUAACACUAACUGGAGGACCGAACCGACUAAUGUUGAAAAAUUAGCGGAUGACCUGUGGCUGGGGGUGAAAGGCCAAUCAAACCGGGAGAUAGCUGGUUCUCCCCGAAAGCUAUUUAGGUAGCGCCUCGUGAAUUCAUCUCCGGGGGUAGAGCACUGUUUCGGCUAGGGGGCCAUCCCGGCUUACCAACCCGAUGCAAACUGCGAAUACCGGAGAAUGUUAUCACGGGAGACACACGGCGGGUGCUAACGUCCGUCGUGAAGAGGGAAACAACCCAGACCGCCAGCUAAGGUCCCAAAGUCAUGGUUAAGUGGGAAACGAUGUGGGAAGGCCCAGACAGCCAGGAUGUUGGCUUAGAAGCAGCCAUCAUUUAAAGAAAGCGUAAUAGCUCACUGGUCGAGUCGGCCUGCGCGGAAGAUGUAACGGGGCUAAACCAUGCACCGAAGCUGCGGCAGCGAACGUAUCACCCAAGACAACUUUACGGAGUUGACGAUUGACGGAGCGAAGCGACGUCAAAGCGUUCAUUAAAGUCGAGUUGGCUUAGGGAUACGUUCGUUGGGUAGGGGAGCGUUCUGUAAGCCUGUGAAGGUGUGUCGUGAGGCAUGCUGGAGGUAUCAGAAGUGCGAAUGCUGACAUAAGUAACGAUAAAGCGGGUGAAAAGCCCGCUCGCCGGAAGACCAAGGGUUCCUGUCCAACGUUAAUCGGGGCAGGGUGAGUCGACCCCUAAGGCGAGGCCGAAAGGCGUAGUCGAUGGGAAACGGGUUAAUAUUCCCGUACUUGGUGUUACUGCGAAGGGGGGACGGAGAAGGCUAUGUUGGCCGGGCGACGGUUGUCCCGGUUUAAGCGUGUAGGUGUGUGUUCCAGGUAAAUCCGGUUCACUUUAACACUGAGGCGUGACGACGAGGCACUACGGUGCUGAAGCAACAAAUGCCCUGCUUCCAGGAAAAGCCUCUAAGCAUCAGGUAACAUCAAAUCGUACCCCAAACCGACACAGGUGGUCAGGUAGAGAAUACCAAGGCGCUUGAGAGAACUCGGGUGAAGGAACUAGGCAAAAUGGUGCCGUAACUUCGGGAGAAGGCACGCUGACACGUAGGUGAAGUGAUUUACUCAUGGAGCUGAAGUCAGUCGAAGAUACCAGCUGGCUGCAACUGUUUAUUAAAAACACAGCACUGUGCAAACACGAAAGUGGACGUAUACGGUGUGACGCCUGCCCGGUGCCGGAAGGUUAAUUGAUGGGGUCAGCGCAAGCGAAGCUCCUGAUCGAAGCCCCGGUAAACGGCGGCCGUAACUAUAACGGUCCUAAGGUAGCGAAAUUCCUUGUCGGGUAAGUUCCGACCUGCACGAAUGGCGUAAUGAUGGCCAGGCUGUCUCCACCCGAGACUCAGUGAAAUUGAACUCGCUGUGAAGAUGCAGUGUACCCGCGGCAAGACGGAAAGACCCCGUGAACCUUUACUAUAGCU